rnacentral:rRNA from 1 species
UACGUAGGUGGCAAGCGUUGUCCGGAAUUAUUGGGCGUAAAGCGCGCGCAGGCGGUCCUUUAAGUCUGAUGUGAAAGCCCACGGCUCAACCGUGGAGGGUCACGCGAUACUGAUCGACUCGAAGGCAGGAGAGGGUAGUGGAAUUCCCGGUGUAGUGGUGAAAUGCGUAGAUAUCGGGAGGAACACCAGUGGCGAAGGCGACUACCUGGCCUGUUCUUGACGCUGAGGCGCGAAAGCUAGGGGAGCAAACGGG